rnacentral:lncRNA from 1 species
CCAAGGAGACAAUGCAAGAUGUUGGUCAGAAUGUGCAGGCGAAGGCUCAAGGAGCUGCUGAUGCAGUCAAGAAUGCCACUGGCAUGAACAAAUGAAGCUGCUCAUGAUGAUCAUUUUCAUGACUUUUAAUGACUUUAUAGAGUUAAGAUGAUGGCAAACUUUCAUUGAGUUUUAUAGACUUUUAUGUAAUUUUUUCUUUCUUUCUUACCCUUCUUUUGAAAGAAUGAAUUGAAAAUUUCAUAGAAUUCUAAAAUGAUGGAAUUUAGAUCUCCAUCAUUUUAAGUUACGACAAUUAAUAUAAUUUCAGUGUUCGGAUUUAUGUAUAUCGAAUUUUACAAUUGAAAUUUCAGGGAAAAACGAAUUCCUUCACUCAAUAGAAAUUAUGAAAUGACUUCUCUUUUGAUUGAAAUUAAACUCAGAAAUCUUGAGUGCUUAACGUUCGUGCCAAAGUAGCCAAACAAUGGAAAUAUUAAAUUCUACUCUUCAAUUCUUAACUUUUAGCUAAAUAAUUAACGUAGGGGAAUAGCAGUAUGUAGUAUGACCACAAGAAAACAGAUUCUAAUAUUAUCUUUUGAUCAUGUUGAAUUAACUCAUGAGAUCUAUAUAACCAAACUAAUUAUUCAUGUAGAGAUUGAAGAAUAUCAAUUAUGAAUUCGUUGGGUUUGAGACUUUUUCAUCUCUGAUUUCUAAAGGUCUCAUUCUGAGCAUGGGUGCCUUAGAGCUUUUUGAAAUAUCCACCAGUUGACCAAAGACAUUAAAAUGCACUCAAGUCAAGAAACAAGACUCCAGAAAUCAGAAAUACAAGAGAACCAAACACACACGAAAAUACAGAAUGUGAAUAACUAAGCACGUGAAAGAAUGUAGCGUGCAUGAAAGAGCUGGUGUAUGCAUUAUUUUUUCCGUAAUAAGUGGUCAUAGAACUAAGCACGUGACAGAAUAUAGCGUGCAUGAUGAUGUAUAAAACUCGUUACACGUAAGAUUUUUUAUGAUUAAAGAUAAAAUGGACACUUGCCCAGAAACUGAAGGAUAAUAUCGUUUUUAACUCAUGUGAGGGAUAACCCAACAAGUUUAUUAGCAUUUACUCAUAAGAUGUUCUGGCCUUUCAAUCAAAUAACAAUAUCUCGUGGAUUGUGGAACAGUCUUCUGAAUUGUAAUUAAUAGAUAAUAUAAUCCAAUAUAAGAAUUCCAUAAUGCUGAAAAAAGUCAUUUUCAUUCACAAAACUGUCUAAGAAACCCUCAGAAUAGCAACUUUUAAGACUCAACAGCCUUCCUGGUCAAAAGGCUCACCCUAAGUAAUUGGGCGACACGUGUUAUGGUCCAAAACCAUGACCAGGAUGAAAUGUGUGCAUGACAUCACACAUGUCGAGCAUUCAGCUGGUCUAAAAUCGUAUAUAAACCAUACCCAAUUGUGAUCAGCAAAUCAAAUUUGAGUUAUAACAACUUCAUCUGAAUUUCAAGUGUUUUCAAGAAAACAAAGUAAGAAGAAAAUGGCUGACAACUCUCAAAAGAUGAGCUACCACGCUGGAGAGGCCAAGGGCCAAGCUCAGGUAAUUAGCUCACCUGUAAAUUGUAAUUUUCCAUUUGUUUUUGCUUCUUUCUUCUGUUUUUUUAUAGAUUAAUGUGGGAUGUUUUGUAUUGGAUAAUUUUGGAUUUAACAGGAGAAGGCCGGUGGGAUGAUGGAUAAGGCUAACAAUGCAGCCCAAUCUACCAAGGAGACAAUGCAAGAUGUUGGUCAAAAUGUGCAGGCGAAGGCUCAAGGGGCUGCUGAUGCAGUCAAGAAUGCCACUGGCAUGAACAAAUGAAGCUGCUCAUGAUGAUCAUUUUCAUGACUUUUAAUGACUUUGUAGAGUUAAGAUGAUGGCAAAAUUUCAUUGAGUUUUAUAGACUUUUAUGUAAUUUUUUUUUUCUUUCUUACCCUUCUUUAGAAAGAAAGAAUUUAAAAUUACAUAGAAUUCCAAAAUGAUGGAAUUUAGAUCUCCAUCAUUUUAAGUUACGGCAAUUAAUAAUUUCAGUAUUUGGAUUUAUGUAUAUCGAAUUUUACAAAUAAAAUUUCACGGAAAAACGAAUUCCUUCACUCAAUAGAAAUUGCGAAAUGACGUCUCUUUUUAUUGAAAUUAAACCCAGAAAUCUUGAGUGCUUGACUUUUGUGCUAAAAUAGCCAAACAGUGAAAGUAUUAAAUUCUACUCUUCAAUUCUUUACUUUUAGCUAAAUAAUUAACGUAGGGUAAUAGCAGUAUGUAGUAUGACCAAAAGAAAACGAAUUCUAAUAUUAUCUUUUGAUCAUGAUGAAUUAACUCUUGAGAUCUAUAUAACCAAAAUAAUUAUUCAUGUAGAGAUUGAUGAAUAUCAAUUAUGAAUUCGUUGGGUUUGAGACAAUUUCAUCUCUUAUUUCUAAAGGUCUCAUUCUCGGCCUGGGUGCCUUAGAGCUUUUUGAAAUAUCCACCAGUUGACCAAACACAUUAAAAUGCACUCAAGUCAAGAAACAAGACUCGUAAAUCAGAAAUACAAGAGAACCAAACACGCACAAAAAUACAUAAUGUGAAUGAACUUGGGGUAAUUAUCAAGUAGAAAAUUUUAUAUAAAGCCGGUGUAUGCCUUAUUUUCCUCGUAAUAAGUGUUCACAUAACUAAGCACGUGAAAGAAUGUAGCGUGCAUGAAAGAGUUGGUAUAUGCAUUAUUUUUCUCGUAAUAAGUGGUCACAUAACUAAGCACGUAAAAGAACAUAGCGUGCAUGAUAAUGUAUAAAACUCAUUACACGUAAGAUUUUUUGUGGUUAAAGAUAAAACACUUGUCCAGAAACUUUGGGACAAUAUCGCUUUUAACUCAUGUGGAGGUUAACCCAACAAGUUUAUUAGCAUUUACUCAUUAAUUAGAUGUUCUGGCCUUUCAAUCAAAUAAUAAUAUCUUGUGGCUUAUGGAACAAUCUUGUGAAUUGUAAUUAAUUGAUAAUAUAAUCCAAUAUUACAAUAAUUCCAUAAUGCUGAAAAAAGUAAUUUCCAUUCAAAAAACUGUCUAAGAAACCCUCAGAAUAGCAACUUGGAAGACUCAACAGCCUUCCUGGUCAGAAGGCUCACCCUAAGUUAUAGGGCGACACGUUUUAUGGUCCAAAACCAUGACCUGGAUGAAAUGUGUGCCUGGCAUCACACAUGUCGAGCAUUCAGCUGGUCUAAAAUCGUAUAUAAACCAUACCCAAUUGUGAGAUAUUCAUCAUUAGCAAACCAAAUUUGAGGUAUAAAAACAUCAUCUGAAUUUCAAGUGUUUUCAAGAAAACAAAGCAAGAAGAAAAUGGCUGACAACUCUCAGAAGAUGAGCUACCACGCUGGUGAGGCCAAGGGCCAAGCUCAGGUAAUUAGCUCAUGUGUAAUUCUCCAUUUGUUUUUACUUAUUUCUUCUACUUUCUUUUAAAUAUUACAUUAUUAUAUGUGAAUGUGCAUUGAGAUUGAUGUGGGGUGUUUUGUAUUGGAUACUUUUGGAUUUAACAGGAGAAGGCUAGUGGGAUGAUGGAUAAAGCUAACAAUGCAGCCCAAUCUACCAAGGAGACAAUGCAAGAUGUUGGUCAGAAUGUGCAUGCGAAGGCUCAAGGAGCUGCUGAUGCAGUCAAGAAUGCAACUGGCAUGAACAAAUGAAGCUGCUCAUGAUGAUCAUUUUCAUGACUUUUAAUGACUUUAUAGAGUUAAGAUGAUGACAAACUUUGUUUGAGUUUUAUAGACUUUUAUGUAAUUUUUUUUUCUUUCUUACUCUUCUUUUGAACGAAGGAACUGAAAAUUGCAUAGAAUUCUAAAAUGAUUGAAUUUAGAUCCCCAUCGUUUUCAUUUAUGGUAAUUAAUAAUUUUAGUAUUCGGAUUUAUGUAUGUUAAAUUUUGUAAAUGACAUAAAUUUUAGGGGAAAACGAAUUCUAAUAUCUUUUGAUCACGAUGAAUUAACUCAUGAGAUCUAUAUAACCAAAAUAAUUAUUCAUGUAGAGAUUGAUGAAUAAUAUCAAUUACGACUCUUGAGAUUGGGGCCCAAUUCGUUGGGUUUGAGACUUUUUCAUCUUUUAUUUCUAAAGACAUCGUUUUGGGCUUGGGUGCCUUAGUGCUUUUUGAAAUAUCCACAAGUUUACUAAACACAUUAAUGACAUGUUUAUUAAUCCGUAAUUAGAUUAGGAGCAAUUGAAUUGAUGAUGAAUUGAAUUGGGAAGGAGUUAGAUUGAGGAGAAUUAGAUUUCGGAUUCCUAUUGAAGUUCUUUACUAAACCGUAUGGAUUGAGGAGAAUUAAAUUCCGGAUUUCUAUUGAAGUUGUUUACUAAAUCAUAUGGAAUUGAGGUAAUAGUGGUACUAAUUACUAAAAUGACCUCGUUGUUUGGUUAAAGUAGAUGGCAAAUUUGAAAUUUUGAAAAUUGAGGAUAUAAUGGGUAACAAAGAUGAAUUCCUAAUAGAUUAGUUCUCCAGGAAUUAGAAUACCACUUCCCACCGAAGAAUUGAGUUUCUCCAAAAUUAGGAAUUCAAUUCCUAAUUUUAUAUGGCCCCACUUACUUUUUAAUUCUUUGAUGUGAAAUAAACACAGGAAUUCUCCAUAGGUGGAAUUCAAUUCUUGAUUAGUAAAAACACAAUAAAAUGCACUCAGGUCAAGAAACAGAACUCCGAAAAUCAGAGAUACAAGAGAACCAAACCAACACAAAAAUACAAAAUGUGAAUGAACUUGGGGAAACUAUCAAAUAGAAAAUUUUAUAUAGAGCUGGUGUAUGCAUUAUUUUUCUCGUAAUAAGUAUUCACAUAACCAAGCACGUGAAAGAAUGUAACGUGCAUGAAAGAGUUGGUGUAUGCAUUAUUUUUCUCGUAGUAAGUGGUCAAAUAACUAAGCACUUAAAAGAAUAUAGCGUGCAUGAUAAUGUAUAAAACUCAUUACAAGUAAGAUUUUUUGCGGUUAAAAGUAAAAUGCAUACUUGUCCAUAAACUUAGGGACAAUAUCGCUUUUAACUCAUGUGGAGGAUAACCCAACAAGUUUAUUAGCAUUUACUCAUAAGAUGUUUUGGUCUUUCUAUCAAAUAACAAUAUCUUGUGAGUCUUGCGAAUUAUAAUUAAUUGAUAAUGUAUUUUUAGGCGUAGUAAUUAAGGAAAUAUAAUCCAAUAUUAUAAGAAUUCCAUAAUACUGAAAAAAGUAAUUUCCAUAUUCAAAACUGUCUGAACCCUAAGAAUAGCAACUGUAGAUGAAGAUAAGACUCAACAGCCUUGUCCUGGUCCGAAAGGCUCAUCCCAAGUUAUAAGGCGACACGUGUUAUGGUCCAAAGCCAUGAAAUGUGUGAAUAGCUUCCGCAUGGCAUCACACGUGUCGAGCAUUCAGCUGGUUGAAAAUUCUAUAUAAACCCUACCCAAAUGUGAAAUAUUCAUCAUCAGCAAAUCAAAUUCGUGUUAUAAAAACUACAUCUGAAUUUCAAGUGCUUUCCUCCAGUUUCCAAGAAAACAAAGCAAGAAAAAAAUGGCUUCCAACUCUGAGAAGGUGAGCUACCACGCUGGUGAGGCCAAGGGCCAAGCUCAGGUAAUUUUCUUCACCUAUUAUUCUCCAUUUGUUCCUGCAUUUUUUGUUGUUGAAUAUUACAUAAUUUAUGCUGAAUGUGCAUUGAGAUUGAUGUAAUUUUUCAUUUAACAGGAGAAGGCGAGUGGGGUGAUGGAUAUGGCAAACAAUGCAGCCCAAUCUGCCAAGGAAACAAUGCAAGCGGCAGGCCAGAAUGUGCAGGCCACGGCUAUAGGAGCUGCUGAUGCAGUCAAGAAUGCCACUGGCAUGAACAAAAAAUGAAGCUAGCUGCUCAUCAUGAUCUCAAUAUGAGCAUUUGCAGUUUUUUUUUCUUUUUUUUGGGAGCUUUCUAGUAGUUGCUUUUGAUUUCUGUCUUCUAAACAAGGGAGCUCUAAGUCCUCUGGAGUUCUCAUCAUCUGGGUGUGUACUUUCGUUCACACUUGGUUUUAGUUUUUGUUUUCUUUUUCUUUUUGUUCAUGUUUAUCUCCUUUGAACAAGGAAAGUGGGCUCUGCCUAUUGUAGUUCUCACCUAAUUGAAUCAUAUGCUGUUUUUAAUCCCAUCUAUAUGUUCAAGAUUGGUCCUUUGUUUAUGCAGAUGAGCAAAAUCCGACCUAAGAGUUUCUGAAAAUAAAAAACAUAAAAAAAAGAAGAUAUAAAUUAAUUAAGCAAGUGCGACAACUCAUAAUUAAGAGAAGCUACUUUUGCAUCUGAUAGAAUUUUAUUGAUAAUGCGGGAUGAAAAUAAGUAAAAAAAUUAAGCUAUGUCUAAAUAAUUAGGUGAGCAUCUCUACACAUAAUGACGUAGUGGUCGUCGAACUAUCUAGAUAGUCUAUCUUCUCAACCUUCUCUCGUCGGACUACCUAUAGAUAGCCUCUCGUCGGACUACCUAGGUAGCCUACCUUCUCAACCUUCUCAACUACAAACGAAAAAAAUAAAAACCUUGCCACCGUUAGAGCGGCCCCAUCUCUCUAAGAUUAGCUACUUAACUAUAGAACAAUAUCGUGACUAUGUAGCUAAGUAGCUUUCCCACAUCAAAGAAAUUUCUGUGACCUUCUUCCGUGAAAUUAAAGUACCAUAAUUUGUUGAAAAUUAAAGCACUUUUGUCGAGAAAUAUCUAGAAAAAUCUAGAUAAGAUCACCGACCAAGCUAAAGUCUACAUAUGCCAGAACUGUCAUAUGAAAUAUCCAAUAUGGUACUAUUAGAUUGAUAAUACGAUAAAAACUAGUGGAGACCACAAAGUUGUGGUUAGGAAUGUAGCAGCAGCUCGGCUGAAAAUGUGUGGUUAGGAACAAAACAAGCCCAAGUGGGUGGAGCUUCAGCAUGUCGGCUGCUGUCAUCUGUAAAUGAAUUUGGUAUGUUUAUUUUAAAAUAAAUUAAUCCAUAAUUACAUUAAAUUACCUUUAUUAGUGGGAGUUAAAUUUCCAUUAAUAUGACUCAACUGCUUUAUGCUUGUGUCCAUUAACGUCUUUCUUGGUGGUAUACUAUGUGUAUAUGUUAGUUAUAGCUUGAAAAAGAAAAAGAGAGAAGCCACAGCCUUCUUCCUCUUAUGAUAAAAUUUGGGUUACUAACAAUACAUUUACAUUAAUUACUCUCUCUUGUAGAAAUGUGAUAUUAAUUUAUUGAUUGCAAUCAUUAAUAAAAUUUAGAGGAUUGACGGUAAUGACAAUAUGUAUAAAUGUUUUAAAAACAGUGGCCAAGGUUUUGUGUACUUGGUAGGCUUGUUAAGUUGCUGGACCCAAUUCUACAUCAAAAGAGAGGUGGAGUGCAUUUAUAGUGCAAACUCAAAAUUGGACCUAUAUCAAAAGACUCAUUCUUUUAAUUUAUGUAUUGAGAUUUCUAAGCAACAUAGUUAGAAAGGUGUUUGUUACCUUUUCUAAACUGCUUGCAUAAAUUGGGCGUAGAGCCGCGAAACGUCUGAAAGAGAACGACUUCGUACGUGACUCAUCCCAAGAAUCGUUCCAAACUACAUACUAAAUUUUUCGUGUAAUAUUGUUCUCUUAUUUUAAUUUGUUCAUCAACAAUUUAAAGACCUUUUCAUCUGCCAUUGAUGUGAAUAAUAAGGCUUAUAGAUUCUAUGACCAAAAGAACCAUGUUGUACUUGAAUCUAAAUGAUGUUUAAAAAAAAAGAAGAUAAAUUCUCAUAUAAAUUGAGAAAUUGUGGGGACUCAAGUUCUAGUAAUACAUCUUUCCCAUAAAUCAUGAACCUAGAUGUAUAGAACAUUUUUAACCAACUUAGAACCAAGGAAGAGUAAGAAAACGAAUUGCCAAGGAUUUUGGACCUAAUUUUCAUGUUCAUACCUUAGAGCAAGGAUUUUGGACCUAACUUUCACACUUGGUUUUUGUUUUUGUUCAUGUUAUCUCCUUUGAACAAGGAAAGUGGGCUCUGCCUAUUGUAGUUCUCACCUAAUUGAAGCAUAAUCUUUUUUCAUGUGCUGGUGUUAGAAUUAUCUUCAUCCUUUACUUCGAUUUAAUCCCAUCUAUAUAUUCAACUAGACAACGAUAGAAUCGUGACUGAAAAACUGCCGCUGAUGCCUUGCAAGAGACGAUGGUCACGUAUACGACGAUUAUGUGUCACAUAAGAGGACUGCACUGUGUCUAGAAAAAUCUAGAUAAGAUACCGACCAAGCUAAAGUCUACAUAUGCCAGAACAGUCAUAUAAAGUAUCUCGGCUGAAAAUAUGUGGUUAGGAACAAACAAGCCCAAGUGGGUGGAGCUUGGGCAUGUCGGCUGCUGUCAUUUGUAAAUGAAUUU